rnacentral:lncRNA from 1 species
AAAAUAAUAAAACUUUUUUCAUGAUUUGCGUUUUGGGCAACAUUUUAAACUUAACAAAAAAAGAAAAAGAAAAAGAAGAAAAAAAAAGAUCAGAUUGUUGUGUUGUGUUGUGUCCGAACGCUGCUGGAACCCAUUGAGAGUAUGACCCACAAAAGCGGCUUUCUCGCUCUCACCGAUCGUUUUUUUUGUUUUCUCGCUUUGGAGCAACCGCCG